GGGAGGCAGCAGUGAGGAAUAUUGGUCAAUGGACGCAAGUCUGAACCAGCCAUGCCGCGUGGAGGAUGAAGGCCCUCUGGGUUGUAAACUUCUUUUAUCUGGGAAGAAACCCAUCUUUUCUAAGGUGGUUGACGGUACCAGUUGAAUAAGCACCGGCUAACUCCGUGCCAGCAGCCGCGGUAAUACGGAGGGUGCAAGCGUUAUCCGGAUUCACUGGGUUUAAAGGGUGCGUAGGUGGGCAGGUAAGUCAGUGGUGAAAUCUCUGGGCUUAACCCAGAAACUGCCGUUGAUACUAUCUGUCUUGAAUAUAGUGGAGGUGAGCGGAAUAUGUCAUGUAGCGGUGAAAUGCUUAGAUAUGACAUAGAACACCCAUUGCGAAGGCAGCUCGCUACACUAUCAUUGACACUGAGGCACGAAAGCGUGGGGAUCAAACAGGAUUAGAUACCCCUGUAGUCC
rnacentral:rRNA from 1 species